rnacentral:rRNA from 1 species
CCUACGGGAGGCAGCAGUGGGGAAUAUUGCACAAUGGGGGAAACCCUGAUGCAGCGACGCCGCGUGAAGGAAGAAGUAUUUCGGUAUGUAAACUUCUAUCAGCAGGGAAGAAAAUGACGGUACCUGACUAAGAAGCCCCGGCUAACUACGUGACAGCAGCCGCGGUACUACGUAGGGUGCAAGCGUUAUCCGGAUUUACUGGGUAUAAAGGGGUCGUAGGCGGUGCAGCAAGUCAGAAGUGAAAGCCCGGGGCUACACUCCGGGACUGCUUUUGAAACUGUUGAACUAGAUUGCAGGAGAGGUAAGUGGAAUUCCUAGGGUAGCGGUGAAAUGCGUAGAUAUUAGGAGGAACACCAGUGGCGAAGGCGGCUUACUGGACUGUAAAUGACGCUGAGGCUCGAAAGCGUGGGGAGCAAACAGGAUUAGAUACCCCAGUAGUC